CACGUAGGAGGCGAGCGUUGUCCGGAAUCAUUGGGCGUAAAGAGCGCGCAGGCGGCUUGGCAAGUCGGGUGUGAAAUCCCGGGGCUCAACCCCGGGACUGCAUUCGAUACUGUCAGGCUAGAGGUAGGUAGGGGAGAUCGGAAUUCCUGGUGUAGCGGUGAAAUGCGCAGAUAUCAGGAGGAACACCGGUGGCGAAGGCGGAUCUCUGGGCCUUACCUGACGCUCAGGCGCGAAAGCAUGGGGAGCGAACAGG
rnacentral:rRNA from 1 species